rnacentral:rRNA from 1 species
CCUACGGGAGGCAGCAGUGAGGAAUAUUGGUCAAUGGACGCAAGUCUGAACCAGCCAUGCCGCGUGCAGGAAGACGGUUCUAUGAGCUGUAAACUGCUUUUGUACGAGGGAAAACGCAGAUUCGUAUAUCUGUCUGAAAGUACCGUAUGAAUACGGAAAGGCUAACUCCGUGCCAGCAGCGGCGGUAAUAUGGAGGAUUCAAGGGUUAUCCGGAUUUAUUGGGGUUAACGGGAGCGUAGGCGGUCGGAUAAGUUAGAGGUGAAAUCCCGAGGCUCAACUUCGGAGUUGCCUCGGAUACUGUGCGGCUAGAGAGUAGUUGCGGUGGGCGGAAUGUAUGGUGUAGCGGUGAAAUGCUUAGAGAU